rnacentral:lncRNA from 1 species
CUUCUUUGAUAAUAUUUCUUGUGAUGACAAUAGAGAACGGAGACCAACCUGGGCUGAAGAAAGAAGAUUAAAUGCUGAAACAUUUGGAAUCCCACUUCGUCCAAACCGUGGCCGUGGGGGAUACAGAGGCAGAGGAGGUCUUGGUUUCCGUGGUGGCAGAGGGCGUGGUGGUGGCAGAGGUGGUACCUUCACUGCCCCUCGAGGAUUUCGCGGUGGAUUCAGAGGAGGUCGUGGGGGCCGGGAGUUUGCGGAUUUUGAAUAUAGGAAAACCACAGCUUUUGGACCCUAAAAGGUCUGGAUUGAUCGUACUGCUUUCUGAAAGAAAGACAACAAAGUUGCUGCAUAGUCUACAAACAAGUCUCUGAAAAUAGGUGAAUUUCUAGCUCUUCAUGGUCCUGAACAUUGAUUUCAGUCUUUGCAAAGAAUGAAGAAGUGAAUUCGCUGUACAUUUGUCACCAGCACUGGGUUUUUGUUUUUUGUUUGUUUUUCCGCUUAAUUUCAAAGAUAAAAUGCAGUUACUUUUGGGGGUGGAAGGCUCAUCUUAAAACAUGAGCAUUAAAUAUAUUUGGAAUAGCAGAAGGUUAAGUAAUUUCUUAUGUAUAGUUAAACUAAAGCAGUACUUCAGUGGGACUUAACAAGUAUUUUUUCAUCACUGAAAGGUUUUUUUUUUUUAUCACUAAAUUGUAUUUGGCAAUUGCAAGUUGCCUGCAGAUAGGGCCGUGAUACUGUGUUUUGAGCCACAGAAGGUUGUGUGUGUGUGUGUGUGUGUGUGUGUGUGUGUGUGUGUAUGUGUGUGUCUUUUUCCUCCUUUCUUUUGGGGAAUCCUGUAAUAUGAGGUAGCUUAUUUCGUCAAUUAAUUAGGGUGCUGGAUGGUAGAGAAUUUUGUCAGUCAACUAUGUACACACAGUAAAUACUGUUUCUUAGGCAAAGGUAACUUUUUUAUAUAGUUGUAAAAUUCCAUUAUAUUCCAUUGCCAAAGAAACAUUAAGAACUUUGUAUAGCUGUAUAAAAAGCAACUAAUUUUUUAAAGAAUAAACAUUUUAAAGUCA